rnacentral:lncRNA from 1 species
UGUUAUAGAUAAAUAGCCUUGUUGGAGGUUAGGAAAUGUCAAGAACAAUACAGUUGCCUGCAUUCCUCCCAGAGAUGAACUGGCGGAAUGGUGGAAGGUGCUACUGGAGGAAGGGUAUUUUGGCUUAAGAGGUGAUGCUGAGGGAAGGGUUUUUGGUUUUUUUAGCCAUUUCUUUUCUCUGUCUGGGCUAAUUCCCUGACUAUAAGGAGCCCAAUCCUCUACAUGUCUCCUCAAAAGCAAGUCCUCUUGAGUUUCAUGGGGCUAAUACUCAGGAAACUAGGAACACGACUGCAAUCAGUCUUCUCAAGCUGCUAAUAGGCUUGAGGUAAAAUCAAGUAAGUACCUGUUAGAACUGUGCUCUUAAUGGCCUCUUGAAAUUCUCUGUCCUAUUAGUGGGCAAAGAAGUUGGGUGGGUGAUUUUACCACCUUUCUCCAGACUGAGGAGAAAUUCUUCAACCAUUUAUUGGGAAUGUGUGUGUGGGGGGGGAUGUGUGUGUAUGGGCUCACCAUUAGCCGUGGGAGUAGCAAACUUUUUAUAUUUUUAACCUAACGUUGUUUUUUGCUGCUGCCAAUGACAACAGAAGCAAAAUGGCCGCCAUUUUGAAUCCUCCACAAUGUCCUUGACCUGGAGUCCUUCCAAGGCACUGUGAGGAAAAUAUGGUGGCCAUCACACACAAACAAAAAAGAUGGUGAGGAAUACUUGGGGGAUUUUUUAAAAACAGCUUUUUAUGGCUUUCAUUUUCUGAGGGGAGGUGGGUGAGAAAAAGAAAAUUCUCAAAAAAAUUCUCUUCAUGGUUAAUAAUAUUUGGGGGGAACGGACAGGGAAAUGUGUGGGGAAAGGAUUAACUGGUCUCCCAACCACAACCCUAUUCCUCCUGACCCCAUUCUCCCCUUCCUCCUGGAUUGUUUUUAGGCAAAGGAAAAUAUAUCUGGAGAACUGACCAUGGAUCCCUCACAUCAUAUUUAGUCUGUGAAAUGCAGAAAUUGUCCAUGCCUGCUCUGGAAUAAGGAGCAAUAUUGGUAGCAACAUAUACCAAUACAUUCGUGCCGGGAGCAUAUGCGGUGAUAAUUAUUGAAUGCGCUGAACUAGUGCACUUUUCCUCAGCUGGCGUUUGAUUAGCUUUUCUUGUAGCUGCUUCCUGGUUAAGGAGGCUUUAAAAAACACACAAAAAAACACCACCACAGCAAACCCUUUAACCACCUCACCUCCUUCACUUAUGUACACACGCAUAUAAAACCCCAAGAGAGAGAGAAGACAAGGAUAGUAAACAUCCAAAGGUCAUACAGAGGCUGUUGUCUAGUAAUUUUCACUUCCCCUUGCACGGCCUGCAAAACACACAGACACACACACCUGUUUCAUUCAAGGUUUUGGAGAGAAGGAGUGGGAAAUCUGUUGCAUUCAACCCGCCCUGCCCCCGCCUGCAAAUUUUGAGACUUUUUGUCCAUGCAAAAUAUGGAAGGGUAAAAAGACCACAGCUUUUCACUCUGUUUCCAUACCAUAAGCACAUUUAACCACCCUGUCAAAGAAUCCUGGGAACUGUAGUUUAAAGGUGCUGGGAACUGUAGCUCUGAUGGGUAAACCUAAACUCCCAAUAUUGUUUGAGAGUAUGUGUGUGCUUUAAAUGUAUGGUGUGUAUGCAGUCUGGAUGAAUUGAUUCCAAAAACUCCAUUACCCUCUCCUCCCAGUUUUGAGGCUGCCCUUCAUACAAAAUAUGGAACAUGGUGGGGCAGAAGGGAAGAAUAUAGCUUUUCACUCAGUUGAUCCCAAACAACUGCUGUGGUUGCUGCAUUGGGCUUCAUGGUCACAACAGAUCAAUGCCGGAGAGAAUGGCCACUCGCUGCAUAAACCAGCAGUACAAUCCUGUAAAUAUCUGUCAACCCAAGAAGUUCAGUGAGGCUUCUUGCAGAGUAAGGCUAGCUCUGGGUAUAGCAGCCCAAGUGUGUGAGCCUCAGCUCCUUCCAGGUGACCUUGACAAUGAAAUGGCAAGGACACAAGAAGGUCAUACCAUUUUAUGCCAGAGCUAAUUUGCAACAACCAGCACCUUUCAGGUUUACUGGAUCUGAACCAGUCUGGAAUAGCCAGCAUCCUCAGGUUUCCCUGGCCACACACAAAAUGACCAUCUUUUAUUCUGGAACAGCUCACUUAACCCCUGCCUAGUCCUCAACUCGCAAUCUAUAAUGUGGAUUAUUAAGAGUAUUCCAGGAACACACAAACACACCUAAACCCUUUUUAUAACCACCCUGACUGGAGCAAGCCUAUUAAGGAGCAACUAAUCUGCAUUAUUUCAGAGUUCACUCCUGAAGUGAAGCUGCCCAAAAGGUGUUACCCCCCCCCUUUUAAGGAUUUGCAAAGCUCCUGAUUUUAGCACGCUAAAAGGAAAAUGCAAACCAAGGCAGACAGAGAAAAAACAAACACGCAAACACACACACACACACACACACACACACACGGGUUACACUGAUUUGCUGGUCUUGGUUUCUUCUGCAGCUGUUGAAGCUUCUGCUGUGGCUUCAAGAAAAGGGAAGGAGGAGGCUGGCCAGGAAGCAGGAAGAAGAGAGCAAAAAAUAAUAAUAAAAAUGAACCUGUUCCACUCUCUGCUGACUCAGAGCUCAGAAAGGUGAGGCUUUCUUAAAUCCUUCCUGUCAAUCCCCUUCUUAAGAGGCUGAUCCUGCGCUGGCGGCUGCUCUCCCCUCCCAAGCCGGCUCCGCAAUGCACUCCCAGCGAGGAGGUGGCACCGCGCAACCCCGCAUGCAACGCGGCGCGCACAGCCCCACACUCUCUCUCCAGACGC